UCUGUAGAUGAUGUGGUGGAAGAGUUUAUGAAAGAUACUGAAGAUAUGCAAGUAAAUACAACAGUUACAUAAAGGAUGUAGCAUCAGCACUGGAAUCAGACAGACAGUCCAAGCACAAAAUACAACAAAAAUGCUGAUGAAGAUAAUUGAGGAAUGUUAAGCAGAACAGUACAGAAAUGGGAGACCUUGGCCACUAUGAAGCAAUUGUUUGGUUUUGUACCAUUGGAAGGAAUUACAUGCUGUCACUAAAUGGAGGAAAGCUAUUGGAUGUUAUUUUUAUUGGACUGCUACAUGAAGAUUAUCUGAUGCUAAUAUAAUAUUGGUAAAAAUCUCAAGGCAUGGAUUUGGCUCACUAGGGUUAGGUUGUAUUGCAUAUAAAAAGCUAAAAGAAGCACAAGAGGACACAAACAAUUGGUUAAACAAGUAUCUUCUACAACACAAAAAAGGCGUUCAGAAAGAUACCUUUCAGUUUUUAAUAUUUUUCUCCAAAGAUGAUUCAUUAUUCUUAUCAGCUGGAAUGCUUUGCAGGUGUAGCCUAACAAAAUAUCAAUAACAUAUCUAUUGAAAUAUUUGAUAAUGCUUUGCAUGUGUCAUCCAAUACAUCCUGACUGCCUAACAUUUCAGUGGUAGAAAGAAAAUGUAAAACCGAGGAUGUUAAGAGCCUACAGUAAAUUACCAAAUACGAAACUACUAUCAAUAAUCAGAAAUAAUGGAGCUUCCCUAUAUUAUAUAAACAAUGAGGCCUCCUGUCAUCACACAUAAA